GUGGGGAAUAUUGGGCAAUGGGGGAAACCCUGACCCAGCAACGCCGCGUGAAGGAAGACGGUUUUCGGAUUGUAAACUUCUUUUAUCGGGGACGAAAAAAAUGACGGUACCCGAAGAAAAAGCCACGGCUAACUACGUGCCAGCAGCCGCGGUAAUACGUAGGUGGCAAGCGUUGUCCGGAUUUACUGGGGGUAAAGGGCGUGUAGGCGGGACUGCAAGUCAGAUGUGAAAUACCAAGGCUUAACCUUGGGGCUGCAUUUGAAACUGUAGUUCUUGAGUGAUGGAGAGGCAGGCGGAAUUCCUAGUGUAGCGGUGAAAUGCGUAGAUAUUAGGAGGAACACCAGUGGCGAAGGCGGCCUGCUGGACAUUAACUGACGCUGAGGCGCGAAAGCGUGGGGAGCAAACAGGAUUAGAAACCCUUGUAGUCC
rnacentral:rRNA from 1 species